GUGCCAGCCGCCGCGGUAAUACCGGCAGCCCAAGUGAUGGCCGCUGUUAUUGGGCCUAAAGCGUCCGUAGCUGGCCGCACAAGUCCGUCGGGAAAUCCGCCCGCUCAACGGGCGGCCGUCCGGCGGAAACUGUGUGGCUUGGAACCGGAAGGCUCAGAGGGUACGUCCGGGGUAGGAGUGAAAUCCCGUAAUCCCGGACGGACCACCGAUGGCGAAAGCACUUCGAGAAAACGGAUCCGACAGUGAGGGACGAAAGCCAGGGUCUCCAACCGGAUUAGAAACCCGAGUAGUCC
rnacentral:rRNA from 1 species